CCUGACGAGAAACGAGCAAAGGACAUUCUCAAGAGAACGACAAAACGAAUUGGGAACCGAUUCGAAACAGGGCUUCUGUGGCGAGAUGAUAAUCGUGUUUUUCCAAACAGCUAUCCUACAGCAGAAAAGCGCAUGCAACAACUGGCGAAGCGUCUGAAAAAGAAUCCAGCCUUGGAGUCAAAGGUAGCCAAAAUGAUUAAAGAGUACGAGCGAAAGGGCUAUGCCCAUAAGAUCACCGAUGAUGAAUUAUCUGGAUUCUCGCCACAAGAGGUGUGGUAUCUACCCCUUAACGUGGUACACAAUGCUAAGAAACCAGAAAAGAUCCGUUUAGUGUGGGACGCAGCGUCAACGGUGGCAGGAGUUUCGUUGAACUCUAUGCUACUUAAAGGACCAGCUAUGUUGGUUCCUUUACCGAGAGUCGUGUGUCGAUUUCGAGAACGUCGCCUUUGGAGGCGACUUGAAGGAAAUGUAUCAUCAGUUGCGCAUAAAAAAUGAGGAUAAACAGGCGCAACGAUUUUUGUUCGGCAGCGAUACGAAAGUCAAGUCACAGGUUUACGUUAUGGACGUAGCUACGUUCGGUGCUACGUGCUCACCCUGUUCAGCGCAAUUCGUGAAGAACAUGAACGCCCUUGAGUUCAGUGAACAGUAUCCAGAGGCAGCGCGAGCAAUCAUAGAAAAACACUAUGUUGACGACUACUAUGAUAGUGUUGAUACAGAAGCGGAAGCCAUUAAGCUGGCAAAGGAAGUCCGGCACAUUCACGCCCAAGGAGAAUUUCAUAUCCGCAAUUGGAUGUCCAAUUCAUCGGCAUUCUUGGAUGAGGUUGGAGCGAGAAGCGAGAAAGCAGCGUUGCAGUUUUCAAGCGAUCAGAGCACCACAUAUGAUCGUGUUUUGGGGAUUAGUUGGAGAUCAAAAGACGAUGUUUUUUGCUUCAGUGUGCUGUCAGACGCGGAUCAUCAAAGGUUCAUCGUUGAUGGAUUUCGACCCUCGAAGCAGAUUGUGUUGAGCGUGGUGAUGACUUCAUUCGACCCGGUGGGUCUGAUUACUCCAAUCACUAUUCGAGGUAAGAUGCUGAUUCAGGACUUAUGGCGAACCGGAUGUGACUGGGACUCGAAUAUUGACUCCGAAUCGUUUGAAAAAUGGAAACGAUGGCUAAUGUUGGUGCAACAGGUGGGGUCGUGUCUAAUUCCUCGUAGUUACUUCGGAAGAGUACCUUCAACUGAGAUCGAGAAGAUAGAGCUACACGUAUUUUGCGAUGCGAGUGAAACAGGGUUUGAUGCAGUUGCCUACUUCAGAGCGAAUAUUGGUGGAGCAGUUAGUUGUUUACUGGUAAUGAGUCGUGCCAAGGUGGCUCCUCUGAAGCCGAUGUCGAUACCUCGUCUGGAACUUGAAGUGGCAAUUCUAGGAGUACGUCUAUCGACAAAGGUGCUGGAGAAUCAUUCAUUGAACAUCUCUCGUACAUACUACUGGACUGAUGCAAAGGUAGUUUUAUCUUGGAUACGCUCGGAUCCGAGACGCUAUAAGCAGUUUAUUGGCUUACGUGUGGGUGAGAUUCUGCAUACAUCGAGCGUUGAAGACUGGAAUUGGGUGCCAUCGAAAUCCAAUCCAGCGGAUCUAUUGACGAAGUGGGGAAAUUCUCUUGACAUGACACCGGAAAGCAGUUGGUUAAAGGGACCUUCAUUUCUGUACAUCGAAGAGGAGAAUUGGCCGCAGCAAGAGCCUCCACCGCUUAACACAAUUGAAGAUUUAAGAGUUCAUCUUCUAAUCCACGACGUGAACAUUCCCUUUCGCAUUAUUGAUGUGGAUCGCUUCUCAAAAUGGACGGUAUUAGUGCGCGCCAUGGCGUGUGUGUUUCGAUUCAUCUACAACUGCAGGAAGAAGGCAGAAGGUAAACCCUUAGAAAUGUUGCAAGUGACUGAUAGACAAUGAAAACUGCUGAUGCACUUGAAAGUUGAGACGAAACGGGUUCCGUUGCAACAACUGGAGUACGAGAAAGCAGAACAAGCGCUAUUGAAGAUGGCGCAAGUCGAUUGUUUCAUUGAUGAGCUGAAGAUAUUAAUGAAGAACAAAAAUCGACCAACUAAUCUAUGGAUUAAUUUUGAAAAAGGCAGUGCAUUGUAUGAGCUUUCGCCGAUGUUGGAUGAGCAUGAUAUUAUUCGUGUGGAAGGUCGGAUGGAACGAGCGGAAUUUCUUCCUUUCAGUUUGAGAUUCCCAAUAAUAUUACCCAGCGAUCAUAGGGUCACCCGACUGAUAGUACGUCAUCAUCAUGAGAAGAGCGGACAUGGCUACCGCGAAGCUGUGAAAAAUGAGCUACGACAGCUCUACCACAUCAUACAUCUCGACGCUACCGUGCGAAAGGAGGCUGCAGCCUGUGUCUGGUGUAAGAGGUUUGCUACUACAACGGAGUACACGGGUGCUUAAAAUAUAAAUGCUGUGGAACUUCCCUAAAAUCUCCAAAAAAAAUUUCGAGGGUACAAAAGCACCACCAAGAACAGAUAAGGAAUUUCGAGAUGAAAAACCCAGUUCUACAGGCCACCGGAGAGGUAAAACACCUCUUACGGAUUUAACACGAUUCGACAUGAUAAAAGUUAUAACUACUAGUGAUUUACUACAUUUAAUACAAUUAGGUAUAGUUUUCAAACUUCUGCUAGGCUGGGUCGAAGGAGCUCUUGCUCCUUUUAAAAAAUGGUGCAAAGAAGAUAUUAUUGAAAUAUCAGAAGAGCUUAUCAGCAUAUUAUUGCCCUCAGAAAUCCAUAGAAAGUUUAGGUCCCUUAAUUAUUUGCACUUUUGGAAAGGUACAGAAUUUGGUAGUUUUUUGCAUUACGCAGGUAUAGUUGUUUUGCAAGAUAGAAUAGGGAAACUAGCAUAUGAACAUUUUAAAUUAUUAUAUUGCGCUAUAACGAUGUUAUCGUCUCGGGCAUUUAAGGAUCAGUGGGAAUAUGCAGGUACAUUAUUGAAGCAAUUUGUAGAGGAUUACAGUGUUGUUUAUGACCGUGUACAUCUUGUUAGUAACGUUCAUCUUUUGCUUCAUGUAUACGAAGAGGUAGACAGAUUAGGCCCUUUGAUAACUUUUUCGAUGCAUGCUUGUGAAAAUAUGCUACAGAUAAUAAAACAUAGCUACGUAACAUCUGGUUAUAGAAGUUUACAUCAAACUAUAGGAAAAAUUCCGGUCUCGUAGUACAGUCGUCAACUCGUACGACUUAACAACAUGCCCGUCAUGGGUUCAAUCCCCAAAUAGAC